rnacentral:rRNA from 1 species
GAUGAACGCUGGCGGCGUGCCUAAUACAUGCAAGUCGAGCGAACAGACGAGGAGCUUGCUCCUCUGACGUUAGCGGCGGACGGGUGAGUAACACGUGGAUAACCUACCUAUAAGACUGGGAUAACUUCGGGAAACCGGAGCUAAUACCGGAUAAUAUAUUGAACCGCAUGGUUCAAUAGUGAAAGACGGUUUUGCUGUCACUUAUAGAUGGAUCCGCGCCGCAUUAGCUAGUUGGUAAGGUAACGGCUUACCAAGGCAACGAUGCGUAGCCGACCUGAGAGGGUGAUCGGACACACUGGAACUGAGACACGGUCCAGACUCCUACGGGAGGCAGCAGUAGGGAAUCUUCCGCAAUGGGCGAAAGCGUGACGGAGCAACGCCGCGUGAGUGAUGAAGGUCUUCGGAUCGUAAAACUCUGUUAUUAGGGAAGAACAAAUGUGUAAGUAACUAUGCACGUCUUGACGGUACCUAAUCAGAAAGCCACGGCUAACUACGUG